rnacentral:rRNA from 1 species
AACGAACGCUGGCGGCAUGCCUAACACAUGCAAGUCGAACGAGACCUUCGGGUCUAGUGGCGCACGGGUGCGUAACGCGUGGGAACCUGCCCUUAGGUUCGGAAUAACUCAGAGAAAUUUGAGCUAAUACCGGAUAAUGUCUUCGGACCAAAGAUUUAUCGCCUUUGGAUGGGCCCGCGUUGGAUUAGCUAGUUGGUGGGGUAAAGGCCUACCAAGGCGACGAUCCAUAGCUGGUCUGAGAGGAUGAUCAGCCACACUGGGACUGAGACACGGCCCAGACUCCUACGGGAGGCAGCAGUGGGGAAUAUUGGACAAUGGGCGAAAGCCUGAUCCAGCAAUGCCGCGUGAGUGAUGAA